rnacentral:rRNA from 1 species
AUUGAACGCUGGCGGCAGGCUUAACACAUGCAAGUCGAGCGGAGUGAUGGUGCUUGCACCAUCACUUAGCGGCGAACGGGUGAGUAAUGCCUAGGAAUCUGCCCAUUAGCGGGGGACAACGUGUGGAAACGCACGCUAAUACCGCAUACGCCCUACGGGGAAGCAGGGACGUCUUUUAGUAGCCUUGCACUAAUGGAUGAGCCUAGGUCGGAUUAGUCAGUUGGUGGGGUAAAGGCCUACCAAGGCGACGAUCUGUAGCGGGUCUGAGAGGAUGAUCCGCCACACUGGAACUGAGACACGGUCCAGACUCCUACGGGAGGCAGCAGUGGGAAUAUUGGACAAUGGCGCAAGCCUGAUCCAGCGAUGCCGCGUGUGUGAAGAAGGCCUG